rnacentral:rRNA from 1 species
GCUGAACUUAAGCAUAUCAAUAAGCGGAGGAGUUGAAUUGUUACUUAUUUAAUUGUCAAUUUGUUGAUUAAAUUCAAAAAAUCUUCAAAACUUUCAACAACGGAUCUCUUGGUUCUCGCAUCGAUGAAGAACGCAGCGAAAUGCGAUAAGUAAUAUGAAUUGCAGAUUUUCGUGAAUCAUCGAAUCUUUGAACGCACAUUGCGCCCUCUGGUAUUCCAGAGGGCAUGCCUGUUUGAGCGUCAUUUCUCUCUCAAACCUUCGGGUUUGGUAUUGAGUGAUACUCUUAGUCGAACUAGGCGUUUGCUUGAAAUGUAUUGGCAUGAGUGGUACUGGAUAGUGCUAUAUGACUUUCAAUGUAUUAGGUUUAUCCAACUCGUUGAAUAGUUUAAUGGUAUAUUUCUCGGUAUUCUAGGCUCGGCCUUACAAUAUAACAAACAAGUUUGACCUCAAAUCAGGUAGGACUACCCGCUGAACUUAAGCA